rnacentral:rRNA from 2 species
AACGAACGCUGGCGGCAGGCUUAACACAUGCAAGUCGAGCGCACUCUUCGGAGUGAGCGGCAGACGGGUGAGUAACGCGUGGGAAUCUACCUAUCACUACGGAAUAACACAGAGAAAUUUGUGCUAAUACCGUAUACGUCCUAAUGGAGAAAGAUUUAUCGGUGAUGGAUGAGCCCGCGUUGGAUUAGCUAGCUGGUGAGGUAAUGGCUCACCAAGGCGACGAUCCUUAGCUGGUUUGAGAGGAUGACCAGCCACACUGGGACUGAGACACGGCCCAGACUCCUACGGGAGGCAGCAGUGGGGAAUCUUGGACAAUGGGGGCAACCCUGAUCCAGCAAUACCGCGUGUGUGAAGAAGGCCCUAGGGUUGUAAAGCACUUUUGUUAGGGAGAACGGUAAUCGUAAUUAAUACCUAUGGUUGCUGAUGUUACCUAAAGAAUAAGCACCGGCUAACUACGUGCCAGCCGCCGCUGU